UACGUAGGGUGCAAGCGUUUGUCCGGAAUUAUUGGGCGUAAAGAGCUCGUAGGCGGUUUGUCGCGUCGAAUGUGAAAACCCGGGGCUCAACCCCGGGCCUGCAUUCGAUACGGGCAGACUAGAGUUCGGUAGGGGAGUCUGGAAUUCCUGGUGUAGCGGUGAAAUGCGCAGAUAUCAGGAGGAACACCGGUGGCGAAGGCGGGUCUCUGGGCCGAUACUGACGCUGAGGAGCGAAAGCAUGGGUAGCGAACAGG
rnacentral:rRNA from 1 species